CAAACUGUAGCUUAACUUAAAGCCCCUUGCUUACACCAAGAGAAUGUCUGUGAGACCCAGACCAUUUUGA
rnacentral:tRNA from 1 species